GAUGAACGCUGGCGGCGUGCCUAAUACAUGCAAGUCGAGCGAACGGACGAGAAGCUUGCUUCUCUGAUGUUAGCGGCGGACGGGUGAGUAACACGUGGAUAACCUACCUAUAAGACUGGGAUAACUUCGGGAAACCGUAGCUAAUACCGGAUAAUAUUUUGAACCGCAUGGUUCAAAAGUGAAAGACGGUCUUGCUGUCACUUAUAGAUGGAUCCGCGCUGCAUUAGCUAGUUGGUAAGGUAACGGCUUACCAAGGCAACGAUGCAUAGCCGACCUGAGAGAGUGAUAGGCCACCCUGGAACUGAGACACGGUCCAGACUCCUACGGGAGGCAGCAGUAGGGAAUCUUCCGCAAUGGGCGAAAGCCUGACGGAGCAACGCCGCGUGAGUGAUGAAGGUCUUCGGAUCGUAAAACUCUGUUAUUAGGGAAGAACAUAUGUGUAAGUAACUGUGCACAUCUUGACGGUACCUAAUCAGAAAGCCACGGCUAACUACGUG
rnacentral:rRNA from 1 species